CCUACGGGUGGCAGCAGUGGGGAAUAUUGCACAAUGGGGGAAACCCUGAUGCAGCGACGCCGCGUGGAGGAAGAAGGCUUUCGGGUUGUAAAGUACUUUCAGUAGGGAAGAAAAUGACGGUAUCUAACGAAUAAGCACCGGCUAACUACGUGCCAGCAGCCGCGGUAAUACGGAGGGUGCAAGCGUUACUCGGAAUUACUGGGCGUAAAGAGAGCGUAGGCGGGCUAGCAAGUCAGAUGUGAAAUCCUAUGGCUUAACCACCGGACUGCACUUGAAACUGUUAAUCUGGAGUGUGGGAGAGGUAGGUGGAAUUCCUGGUGUAGGGGUGAAAUCCGUAGAGAUCAGGAGGAAUACUAGUUGCGAAGGCGACCUACUGGACCAUAACUGACGCUGAUGCGCGAAAGCGUGGGGAGCAAACAGGAUUAGAUACCCAGGUAGUC
rnacentral:rRNA from 1 species